GAACUUUAUACCUGUCAAACGUAUAAAUGUAUAAAUAUAGAGGGCCCCCUUCGAUCAAAUCCUAACCUUCUCUCCUUCCUUUUGAUCUUCCCCUCUACGCGAUCGAAACCGAAGCUCGAAUCAAUCCUCCACCCGUUUCCAGCCCCUCGUCCCGGAGCCCCGAUCCGCCUCCCGUCUCCUCCUGGGCAGGUCCCCCUUUUCCGCGUGUGCGUUGGCCGGCCGGUUCCCGAUGAGGGGGUUGCUGGCGGUGGAGGCCGCGGGCGCGGCGUCGGUCCCGGCCUCGGUACUCCACGGCGCCGUGGACUGGUGGCGCGACGUCAACGAGUCGCCGCUGUGGCAGGACCGCAUAUUUCACGCGCUCGCCGUGCUCUACGGCAUCGUCUCGGCCGUCGCGCUGGUCCAAUUAAUCAGAAUCGAGUGUAGGGUGCCAGAGUAUGGAUGGACAACGCAGAAGGUGUUCCAUUUUCUAAACUUCCUUGUGAACGGCGUGCGGUCUGUCGUGUUUGUGCUGCGGCGAAAUGUGCAACUUGUAGAGCCUGAGAUAAUACAACAUGUGCUUCUGGAUAUGCCCGGGCUUGCAUUCUUCACGACAUAUGCACUUUUAGUGCUCUUCUGGGCUGAGAUUUAUUAUCAGGCACGUGCAAUGUCGACUGAUGGGCUUAGACCAACUUUCUAUUGGAUCAACGGUGUGGUCUAUGCAAUUCAGAUAAUUCUAUGGUUGGUUUUAUGGUGGAAACCAGUUCGAGUUAUGGUCAUUUUGCCAAAGAUGUUCUUUGCAGGUGUAUCACUAUUUGCUGCCCUUGGAUUUGUUCUGUAUGGAGGAAGAUUCGAAAGGAAGGAGAAAGAAAUUGCAGGAGGUUGGCUAUGUGACUACCAUCUGUUUUUCUUGUUUCUUGAUCAGAUGUGUCAUGCUGUGCCUCAAUUCAUUUGAUAAAGAAGCAGAUCUUGAUGUCCUGAACCAUCCAAUCCUGAACUUCCUCUAUUACCUGCUGGUUGAGAUAGUGCCUUCGGCUCUGGUGCUCUUCAUUCUACGGAAACUGCCUCCAAAACGUGGGAUCACACAAUAUCACCCAAUCCAUUAGAGAGCAGGCCUUGGUGGACAGGCAAAUGUUUUCUGGUGGAUUGUCUUAUAUAGCGUGGUAAAUACAGAAGGCAGAGUGAAAAGUACCACCUUUGCUCUCGAGCUUGCCCAGCUUUUCAUACGAGGGAAGGCUUUAGAAUCUCAGGUUUAGAAAAUGCGAUCUCUUUCUCUCAGAUUUAGAAAAUGUAAAAUGUAAUUUAUAUAACUUUAAUAUUCUCAGUGCAUAUCAUUUGUUCACAUCUCAGUAAUCGUUUGCAUGUUU